rnacentral:rRNA from 1 species
CGUGUAGGUGGUCUGAUAAGUCAGGUGUGAAAGCCCCUGGCUCAACCAGGGAAGUGCAUUUGAAACUAUCAGACUUGAGUACGGGAGGGGGAAGUGGAAUUCCUGGUGUAGAGGUGAAAUUCGUAGAUAUCAGGAGGAAUACCGGUGGCGAAGGCGACUUCCUGGACCGAUACUGACACUGAGACGCGAAAGCGUGGGGAGCAAACAGGAUUAGAUACCCUGGUAGUCCACGCCAUAAACGAUGGGCACUAGGUGUAGCGGGUAUUGACCCCUGCUGUGCCGAAGCUAACGCAUUAAGUGCCCCGCCUGGGGAGUACGGCCGCAAGGCUAAA